AAUGGGCGCAAGCCUGAUCUAGCCAUGCCGCGUGAGUGAUGAAGGCCUUAGGGUCGUAAAGCUCUUUCGCCUGUGAAGAUAAUGACUGUAGCAGGUAAAGAAACCCCGGCUAACUCCGUGCCAGCAGCCGCGGUAGUACGGAGGGGGUUAGCGUUGUUCGGAAUUACUGGGCGUAAAGCGCGCGUAGGCGGACAUUUAAGUCAGAGGUGAAAUCCCAGGGCUCAACCCUGGAACUGCCUUUGAUACUGGGUGUCUUGAGUUCGAGAGAGGUGAGUGGAAUUCCGAGUGUAGAGGUGAAAUUCGUAGAUAUUCGGAGGAACACCAGUGGCGAAGGCGGCUCACUGGCUCGAUACUGACGCUGAGGUGCGAAAGUGUGGGGAGCAAACAGGAUU
rnacentral:rRNA from 1 species